UACGGAGGAUCCGAGCGUUAUCCGAAUUUAUUGGGUUUAAAGGGAGCGUAGGCGGGUUGUUAAGUCAGUUGUGAAAGUUUGCGGCUCAACCGUAAAAUUGCAGUUGAUACUGGCAUCCUUGAGUACAGUAGAGGUAGGCGGAAUUCGUGGUGUAGCGGUGAAAUGCUUAGAUAUCACGAAGAACUCCGAUUGCGAAGGCAGCCUGCUGGACUGUAACUGACGCUGAUGCUCGAAAGUGUGGGUAUCAAACAGG
rnacentral:rRNA from 1 species